GAUGAACGCUGGCGGCGUGCUUAACACAUGCAAGUCGAACGGGAAGGCCCAAGCUUGCUUGGGUACUCGAGUGGCGAACGGGUGAGUAACACGUGGGUGAUCUGCCCUGCACUUCGGGAUAAGCCUGGGAAACUGGGUCUAAUACCGGAUAGGACGAUGGUUUGGAUGCCAUUGUGGAAAGUUUUUUCGGUGUGGGAUGAGCUCGCGGCCUAUCAGCUUGUUGGUGGGGUAAUGGCCUACCAAGGCGUCGACGGGUAGCCGGCCUGAGAGGGUGUACGGCCACAUUGGGACUGAGAUAAGGCCCAGACUCCUACGGGAGGCAGCAGUGGGGAAUAUUGCACAAUGGGCGCAAGCCUGAUGCAGCGACGCCGCGUGGGGGAUGACGGCCUUCGGGUUGUAAACUCCUUUCGCUAGGGACGAAGCGUUUUUGUGACGGUACCUGGAGAAGAAGCACCGGCUAACUACGUG
rnacentral:rRNA from 1 species